AUGUCAACCAUCACUGGGCAUCUGAUCUACAAGCUUGGAGGUAUUGACAAGCGUGUGAUCGAGAGGUCCAAGAAGGAAGCUGCUGAGAUGAACAACAGGUCAUUCAAGUAUGCAUGGGUGUUUGACAAGCUAAAGGCUGUCCUCGAAGGAGCGAAGCUCUUCCGUGUUGUUUGUAUCCACCAGAGAUCUGUUUUUACCAACACUCUCUGA
rnacentral:rRNA from 1 species